rnacentral:rRNA from 1 species
AUUGAACGCUGGCGGCAGGCCUAACACAUGCAAGUCGAGCGGAUGAAGGGAGCUUGCUCCUGGAUUCAGCGGCGGACGGGUGAGUAAUGCCUAGGAAUCUGCCUGGUAGUGGGGGAUAACGUCCGGAAACGGGCGCUAAUACCGCAUACGUCCUGAGGGAGAAAGUGGGGGAUCUUCGGACCUCACGCUCUCAGAUGAGCCUAGGUCGGAUUAGCUAGUUGGUGGGGUAAAGGCCUACCAAGGCGACGAUCCGUAACUGGACUGAGAGGAUGAUCAGUCACACUGGAACUGAGACACGGUCCAGACUCCUACGAGAGGCAGCAGUGGGGAAUAUUGGACAAUGGGCGAAAGCCUGAUCCAGCCAGGCCGCGUGUGUGAAGAAGGUCUUCGGAUUGUAAAGCACUUUAAGUGGGGAGGAAGGGCAGUAAGUUAAUACCUUGCUGUUUUGACGUUACCAACAGAAUAAGCACCGGCUAACUUCGUG